rnacentral:rRNA from 1 species
ACGGAGGUUGCAAGCGUUGUUCGGAAUAACUGGGCGUAAAGGGAGCGCAGGCGGUUAGGUAAGUUUAAAGUGAAAGCCCGGGGCUUAAACUCGGAAGGGCUUUGGAUACUGCCUUACUCGAGUGCGGUUGAGGAAAGCGGAAUUCCCGGUGUAGCGGUGAAAUGCGUAGAUAUCAGGAGGAACACCGAUGGCGAAGGCAGCUUUCUGGCGCGAUACUGACGCUAAGCCGCGAAAGUAUGGGGAGCGAACAG